UUAGUACUUCCUCUGUCUUAAAAUUCUUGUCUUAAAUUUGUCUAGAUACGGAUGUAUCUAAUACUAAAAUGUGACUUGAUAUAUCCGUAUUUAGACAAAUCUUAGACAAGAAUUUUGAGACGGAGGGAGUACCAC
rnacentral:pre_miRNA from 1 species